CCAUUUCCCGAACCUCACUUCUCUCUACUCAGCGAAUUCCCCAACAACAAUUCCAUAACUUCUCCAAUCAAUUUCAUUCCCUAAUCAUUCCUCAAUCUACCAACAAGGUUCUCUCCCAUAUUGGGAGAACUGACUAAAAUGAGGCUGUCUAUUAUCAAUAACAUGUGCUCCCAACAUCGCAUACUUCAUAGCAUCAAUCAAGAUAAAUGAAUUACCUGAGGAAUGACAUCGAUUUUGUGGCUGCUUAUGAUUGAUAUUAAGAAAUGGAUUUAAUUGCUAAGAAUUCCUUGGUGUGUACUUUUCAUUUUGUCUUUGAAAGGAAACCUUUCCUCAACUAGAUGUUUGAAGAAGUUAGAAAGCACCUUACAUUUACAACAUUAUAGAAAUAGUUUGACUUGUAUGAUUAUCAUUAGUAGUAUAACAUGAAAGCAAAAAGAAAGAAAAGAAGAUUUGAUCAUUUGAAUCUCAUAAACCGUUUACUUGUUGUAUUUAUUACUCUAAUUGAUCAAUUGAUCAAUAGCAGGUUUGGAUGGACUUGAAGGAACUAAUUGAGUGCAAGCCUGUUUUCUAAUCUCUCAAGAUGAAUGCUACAAAGCAUUAUUAAGAUAUUAAGCUACAGUAUGCUGCAGGUAUACUAUUUUUCUGCUUUGAUUGUUUUUUCUGAUUUGCAUUUGCAGCUACGGUAUAUUGUAGGCACACUACUUGAAAUUGUGUUCUGGCUGCUAGUAGGGCAUUACUUAUGCUUUUUGCAUUAUAGUAAGGUGUAGUUUCUUAUUUGGAGUAUUAACCAAGUUAUAAAAGAUGCCAAAUAUGAACCAUUCCCCGAACCUUACUUCUCUCUGCUCCGCGAAUCCCCCAACAACAAUUCCAUAACUUCUCCAAUCAAUUUCAUUCACUACUUAUUACCCAAUCCACCAACAAGGUUCAUAUCUAAACGUUCUAAUCAUUUUUCACUUUUUCGUGUUUUUUUAGGCUGUAGGGUUUUGCUAGGGUUUUAGGUUUUUUUCUCAGAAUUUGAUAACUCAUUAAGUUUCAAUACUGAUUCUUAUACUUUAUGUUCAUAUAUUAUUUCUCUUCCAUGUUGAAAUGUGUAUUUGCAGCUAUGGUAUAUUGUAGGCACAGUACUUGAAAUUGUGUUCUGGCUCCUAGUAGGGGCAUUACUUAUGCUUUUUGCAUUAGAGUAAGAUGUAGUUUAUUAUUUGGAGUAUUAACCAAGUUAUAAAAUAUGCCAAAUAUAUGAAUCUUAAGCACAAGAUAGGGGAUUUAAUGAUUGUAUUAGCAUGUCUAUAUAAGUUGUGUUUGUGUGCUUAAGUCUGUAUAACGGGUAUUAAGGUGUUUAUAAUCGAUAUUAAGAUGCCAAACUAAUCAUAUUUUGUUAUGUUGAAUUGAGUCCUAUUUAACAGACCAUGUUACUGAUAGUUCAGAAUUCACAAGGCGUUCUUGAUUCUUACUACAAAAUUGAGAGUGCAAAGCUAUCUACAAUUUACAAAAUUAUAUGUCAUAAAUCUGCUGUUAAAAUUAUCAUUUAUCUUUUAAUGUGUGAAGGGUUAUUUAGAUAAUGUAGAUGAAGAGAAGUAUUAUGAAGGAUAAACUAAAAUAUGGAAUUUGUUGACAAUAUUUUAGAGGAAGUUGAAUUUGCUAGGAUACUUGCUUUGUUUAAGUGUUAUAGAAUUUCAGUUGAUUUAAUCUGUUUUAGAUGAUUGUGGUGGGAAUUAAAAUAGGGAAAUCAGUAGAGAUUUUUGGUUGAAAGUUUGAGAUUUGGAAUUGAAGGAAUAUUGGAGUGAAAUGAAACAACUUUGACUAUGCAUAGCGUCAUUAUUUGUUACGGCUGUAGGUAUAUAACCUGUUAGUGAGUAGUAACUUGGAAGUCGCUGUUCUAAUCUGUAGGUAUAUAACCUGUUAUUGAUUUGCACUGACAUGUGCUUGAUUUACAGCUGAUUCACUAGUUUUGGGUUUGGUGAUUGGCUAAGGUUUCCCUAGUCAUUUCGCUGUUUUCGUCUUCUACUUUAUCAUGUUUGAUUCUGUUCUCAAAAUGUCUUCUAGAAAUGCUAGUUCUGUUCAUUACUUGUUUAUCUCUUUUCAUCAUCCCACAAAUAGAGACUGAGAUAUAAAUGAAUUUAUCUAACUUAUUAUAGAGCUAGUUGCAGGACUGUUGUAAUUACUUUUAAUGAUCUAAUAACAGGACUAUUGUGAUAUACUUUGUUUGUAGAGCUAGUGGAAUCAUGAUCGAGUUGUCAAGACUCUAUUGACGUUAUUGUUAAUUUACCUGUAAUUUGUGUAAAGUGUAUGUAUAAAUUUUGAAGGAGAAUGGAAGGAGAGGAGGUGGAGAUGGAUAAGUGAAUGUUAUAGUGUGGAAAUGCUAAACUAAACCUUUUUAUGAAUUUGUUUUAAAAAUAAUGUCGCUGUUUGGUUCUCAAUAAUAUGAUAAGUUUGUUUGUUUUAAAUCUUUUGAUUUUUUUCUUAUAUUUAUGCCUUUUCAACUUAUCACCAAGAGUUGGGCAUGCCAUUGUGGAUGGUGUCAUGUUUGAAUGCUGUAGUCAGCUAUGAAAUCCAAAAAUGAAAGAUGCAUUUUAAUGUCUUUUUAUGUCCACAAGUAGAUUUCUCUUACUUCCUUUUCUACUUAUUUGAUGUCCAUUAUGUUGCUAUUGGACUUUUUAUGAGUAACUUUCAAUCAAACUAAUAGAUAUUAAAUCUAUUUGCAAGUGUAGGAUUGAUUAAAAGAAAGCAACACAUUCAGUUCUAAAAGAUUCUCUUUUAAGUUCUAUAAAGGUUGCUUCUUGACAUUACAUAGUUAACAUGAAUCCCAGGUUUGAUCACAUAUUGUGGAGCUAAAGUUCAGGUAUCACAUCAUAUUACACUUGCAAAACCUAUUUGUGUGUACAUCUUUAUAUUUUUCUCUGAUAUGAUGUCUUUGGCUCUACUUAUGAGCAUGCUUUAGGUUUUGGUUCUGUUUCAUGAAUUACCUUGUUGGUGUGUGGUGUUACGAUACAAAAAUCUUUGUAUAAUUUCAUUAAUUUGUAUUUUAAAGUGGUAAUGGCCUAGUUAAAGUGCUUGUGUAUUAAAACAUAUAUGUGUACUCUUGUGAUCCUAAGAGAUGCGUUGUAUAAUUGUAUUGUAAACUAUUGAUCAAUAAUACUAUAUGAUGGUGUGUCUC